rnacentral:rRNA from 1 species
UCUCAGUUCGGAUUGGAGUCUGCAACCCGACUCCAUGAAGCUGGAUUCGCUAGUAAUCGCGCAUCAGCCACGGCGCGGUGAAUACGUUCCCGGGCCUUGUACACACCGCCCGUCAAGCCAUGGAAGCCGGGGGUGCCUGAAGUGCGCUGCCGCGAGGAGCGCCCUAGGGUAAAACCGGUGACUGGGGCUAAGUCGUAACAAGGUAUC